rnacentral:rRNA from 1 species
GCUGGCGGCGUGCCUUACACAUGCAAGUCGAGCGAGGCGGCCCGCAAGGGUCAGUCGAGCGGCGAACGGGUGAGUAACGCGUGGAUAACCUGCCCAGAGGUGGGGGAUAACCCGGGGAAACUCGGGCUAAUACCGCGUGAUACCGAAAGGUCAAAGGGGGCUCGCAAGGGCUCUCGCCAUAGGAGGGGUCCGCGUCCGAUUAGCUAGUUGGUAGGGUAAUGGCCUACCAAGGCGACGAUCGGUAGCCGGCCUGAGAGGGUGAUCGGCCACACUGGAACUGAGACACGGUCCAGACCCCUACGGGAGGCAGCAGUGGGGAAUUUUGCGCAAUGGGCUAACGCCUGACGCAGCAACGCCGCGUGGAGGAUGAAGGUCUUUGGAUUGUAAACUCCUGUCAGCAGGGAAAAAGCAAAUCGGCCUAACACGCCGGUGAGUUGAUUGUACCUGCAGAGGAAGCCCCGGCUAACUCUGUGCCAGCAGCCGCGGUAAUACAGAGGGGGCAAGCGUUAUUCGGAAUUAUUGGGCGUAAAGGGCGCGUAGGCGGCUUGGCAAGUGGAUGGUGAAAUCCCUCGGCUUAACCGAGGAACUGCCGUCCAAACUGCUUUGCUUGAGACCGGGAGAGGUGAGUGGAAUUCCCAGUGUAGCGGUGAAAUG